rnacentral:rRNA from 1 species
AAUUCCAGGUGUAGCGGUGAAAUGCGUAGAGAUCUGGAGGAAUACCGGUGGCGAAGGCGGCCCCCUGGACAAAGACUGACGCUCAGGUGCGAAAGCGUGGGGAGCAAACAGGAUUAGAUACCCUGGUAGUCCACGCCGUAAACGAUGUCUACUUGGAGGUUGUGCCCUUGAGGCGUGGCUUCCGGAGCUAACGCGUUAAGUAGACCGCCUGGGGAGUACGGCCGCAAGGUUAAAACUCAAAUGAAUUGACGGGGGCCCGCACAAGCGGUGGAGCAUGUGGUUUAAUUCGAUGCAACGCGAAGAACCUUACCUGGUCUUGACAUCCACAGAAGUUUGCAGAGAUGCGAAUGUGCCUUCGGGAAC